AGUCGAACGAGAAUCUGUGGAAAGAGGAUUCGUCCAAUUGAAGCAGAGGACAGUGGCGGACGGGUGAGUAACGCGUGAGGAACCUGCCUUUCAGAGGGGGACAACAGUUGGAAACGACUGCUAAUACCGCAUAACAUAUAGAUGUCGCAUGGCAUUUAUAUCAAAGAUUUAUCGCUGAGAGAUGGCCUCGCGUCUGAUUAGCUAGUUGGUGAGGUAACGGCCCACCAAGGCGACGAUCAGUAGCCGGACUGAGAGGUUGAACGGCCACAUUGGGACUGAGAUACGGCCCAGACUCCUACGGGAGGCAGCAGUGGGGAAUAUUGGGCAAUGGGCGCAAGCCUGACCCAGCAACGCCGCGUGAAGGAAGAAGGCUUUCGGGUUGUAAACUUCUUUUGUCAGGGACGAGUAGAAGACGGUACCUGACGAAUAAGCCACGGCUAACUACGUGCCAGCAGCCGCGGUAAUACGUAGGUGGCAAGCGUUGUCCGGAUUUACUGGGUGUAAAGGGCGUGUAGCCGGGAGGGCAAGUCAGAUGUGAAAUCCACGGGCUCAACUCGUGAACUGCAUUUGAAACUACUCUUCUUGAGUAUCGGAGAGGCAAUCGGAAUUCCUAGUGUAGCGGUGAAAUGCGUAGAUAUUAGGAGGAACACCAGUGG
rnacentral:rRNA from 1 species